UACAGAGGGCGCGAGCGUUGUCCGGAAUCACCGGGCGUAAAGGGCGCGUAGGUGGCCACCAUAAGGCCGCGGUGAAAGUUUGGGGCUCAACCCCAGAUCGGCCGCGGCGACUGUGGGGCUGGGGCACUGUAGAGGCAGAUGGAAUUCCGGGUGUAGCGGUGGAAUGCGUAGAGAUCCGGAAGAACACCAGUGGCGAAGGCGGUCUGCUGGGCAGUUCCUGACACUGAGACACGAAGGCCAGGGGAGCAAACGGG
rnacentral:rRNA from 1 species